CAAAUUAGAGCUUGAUAAAAAGUAUUUCAUUUACAUUGAAAAGAUAUUAAUAAUAUUGAUUAAUUUGA
rnacentral:tRNA from 1 species